UACGUAGGGACCAAGCGUUGUUCGGAUUUACUGGGCGUAAAGGGCGCGUAGGCGGCGUGACAAGUCACUUGUGAAAUCUCUGAGCUUAACUCAGAACGGCCAAGUGAAACUGUUGUGCUAGAGUGCAGAAGGGGCAAUCGGAAUUCUUGGUGUAGCGGUGAAAUGCGUAGAUAUCGAGAGGAACACCUGCGGCGAAGGCGGGUUGCUGGGCUGACACUGACGCUGAUGCGCGAAAGCGUGGGGAGCGAACAGG
rnacentral:rRNA from 1 species